UACGGGGGGGGCAAGCGUUGUUCGGAAUUACUGGGCGUAAAGGGCGCGUAGGCGGCCCGGCAAGUCCCUUGUGAAAUCCCACAGCUCAACUGUGGAAUUGCGUGGGAUACUGCCAGGCUUGAGUCCGGGAGAGGAGAGUGGAAUUCCCAGUGUAGCGGUGAAAUGCGUAGAUAUUGGGAGGAACACCGGUGGCGAAGGCGGCUCUCUGGACCGGUACUGACGCUGAGGCGCGAAAGCUAGGGGAGCAAACGGG
rnacentral:rRNA from 1 species